GACGAACGCUGUCGGCGUGCUUAACACAUGCAAGUCGAACGGAAAGGCCCUGCUUUUGUGGGGUGCUCGAGUGGCGAACGGGUGAGUAACACGUGAGUAACCUGCCCUUGACUUUGGGAUAACUUCAGGAAACUGGGGCUAAUACCGGAUAGGAGCUCCUGCUGCAUGGUGGGGGUUGGAAAGUUUCGGCGGUUGGGGAUGGACUCGCGGCUUAUCAGCUUGUUGGUGGGGUAGUGGCUUACCAAGGCUUUGACGGGUAGCCGGCCUGAGAGGGUGACCGGCCACAUUGGGACUGAGAUACGGCCCAGACUCCUACGGGAGGCAGCAGUGGGGAAUAUUGCACAAUGGGCGGAAGCCUGAUGCAGCAACGCCGCGUGCGGGAUGACGGCCUUCGGGUUGUAAACCGCUUUCGCCUGUGACGAAGCGUGAGUGACGGUAAUGGGUAAAGAAGCACCGGCUAACUACGUGCCAGCAGCCGCGGUGAUACGUAGGGUGCGAGCGUUGUCCGGAUUUAUUGGGCGUAAAGGGCUCGUAGGUGGUUGAUCGCGUCGGAAGUGUAAUCUUGGGGCUUAACCCUGAGCGUGCUUUCGAUACGGGUUGACUUGAGGAAGGUAGGGGAGAAUGGAAUUCCUGGCGGAGCGGUGGAAUGCGCAGAUAUCAGGAGGAACACCAGUGGCGAAGGCGGUUCUCUGGGCCUUUCCUGACGCUGAGGAGCGAAAGCGUGGGGAGCGAACAGGCUUAGAUACCCUGGUAGUCCACGCUGUAAACGGUGGGUACUAGGUGUGGGGUCCAUUCCACGGGUUCCGUGCCGUAGCUAACGCUUUAAGUACCCCGCCUGGGGAGUACGGCCGCAAGGCUAAAACUCAAAGGAAUUGACGGGGCCCCGCACAAGCGGCGGAGCAUGCGGAUUAAUUCGAUGCAACGCGUAGAACCUUACCUGGGUUUGACAUGGAUCGGGAGUGCUCAGAGAUGGGUGUGCCUCUUUUGGGGUCGGUUCACAGGUGGUGCAUGGCUGUCGUCAGCUCGUGUCGUGAGAUGUUGGGUUAAGUCCCGCAACGAGCGCAACCCUUGUUCACUGUUGCCAGCACGUUAUGGUGGGGACUCAGUGGAGACCGCCGGGGUCAACUCGGAGGAAGGUGGGGAUGACGUCAAGUCAUCAUGCCCCUUAUGUCCAGGGCUUCACGCAUGCUACAAUGGCUGGUACAGAGAGUGGCGAGCCUGUGAGGGUGAGCGAAUCUCGGAAAGCCGGUCUCAGUUCGGAUUGGGGUCUGCAACUCGACCUCAUGAAGUCGGAGUCGCUAGUAAUCGCAGAUCAGCAACGCUGCGGUGAAUACGUUCCCGGG
rnacentral:rRNA from 1 species